GGAUGGAGACAGACUCGGAGCCACAAAGGGGAGGGGAGAGGUGCGAGGGGGCAGGGAGAGGAAGGAUGAGAGGAUGAAGAAGGAAAGGGAACAGAAAGGCCCUAAGAAUAAAAGAAAGGACCCUCCCGUGGACGGACGAAUGAGUGAAUGAGCCGGUGAAAGAAUGAAUAAUCCAAGGCAUGUAUAAAAUAAAGGGCAGGGACGCCCGGGGGGCUCAGCGAUUGAGCAUCUGCCUUCAGCUCAGGGCAUGAUCCUGGAUCCUGGGGUUCCAGGAUCGAGUCCCACAUGGGGUUCCUCCCAGGGAGCCUGCUUCUCCCUCUGCCUGUGUCUCUGCCUCUGUCUCUCAUGAAUAAAUAAAUAAAAUCUUUGAAAAAUAAACACAUAAUAUAAAGGGCAAACAAACGAGGGGAAGGCGUCGGUGGCCGAGCCUGGUGGCAGGCCCUCAGGUGCGCAGCCCCUGCUCCCGGGCUCGUGGCUGUGUGGCCGGCCCCGUGGGGGACCUCUCUGGGCUGCAGGCCUGGUCUAGUGGCGGUGGCUGCGUCCUUGACCCUCGGCCAGGCAAGCCCAGCUUGCCACACCCUCCCCUCCCAACCAGGAACCUCAGCACCUUCUGUACUCCAGCCCGAGAAGAGAACUGAAAGUAAAAGCCAUCCUGAGCUUUGCCCCAGCCUUCCUGUUCCUCUGCUGGUUUCUUAGAAAUCAGCUGCCUGGGCUUCCAGCUGCCGCCUGGACUUCAUCUCUCACCGAAGAGCCCCCUCACCCUGGGGGAGAAACUACGACCUCAAAGAAGUAUGGUGGUUUGAUCUGGCCAGGACUCCCAGCUGGAGUGGAGAUCCAGAAGCAGUCUGCGUGUGCCCAGCCUCUCUCCUGAGCCAGACUCAAGGGGUACCCGGAUCCUCACCAUGUCUGUCUGGGAGCACACCCUCUGCCCCUGGCCCCAGGCUCCCACACACCCCGCUUAAACCCUCCACACCUUAAAGUGGCCUGCCUGGGUCACACAGCCUACUGCGGAGUCAGAGUCAGGAUUCAGGCCCAGGUCUGCGGGGCCUCAAAGGGCCCCCUCCUUCUUCUCCGUGAGGCAUCGGGUACCUUACAGAAAACAGACCUGAGCUGACAGUCUCUGUCCCCACAUUCUAAGGAGGGUGGACGGGACAGCAUGGAAAAAAAUCUUGGUGGCUGGAAAGUAGGGUCCACACUCAGCGCAUUGUGAGCCAGAGCUUUGCUCUCAGGGAACUACCCUGCUGGUUCUCGAUGGUCCCGGAGGGGCUUUCCGUCCCAGCACUGGCCGCAGGUGGAUGUGGACCAGACCUGGCUAAUCAGAGCACCCCAUACCUCAGUUGAGAUGAAGAGACGGAGCAGGAGCCGGAGCCCUGAUGCCCUGUGUGAGCCCUGGAUCCAGCCAUACCUGAUCUCCACCUCCAGACUUACCUGUUACACAAACCACAGGUUUCCUUUUUUGGCUUAUCCUUGUCACUUAUGACAGUUAUGUUGCUGUCACUUGCAACGCUAAGAGUCAAAACAACCCUCUGGCCUGGAAGAGCGAGGACUAGUUUUGGCAGGAUCUGGGGCCCAUGGUGAUCCCCGCUCUCCCUGGUGUCUGCCCUCCAGGAAAGGUGGGUUGCAGACACUUCCACAUCCCCAGGGUCCACGGGUUUUGUUAAUAACCGACUUUUUUUUUUUAACUUUGGGGAAAAAAAUUCCACGUUUAAAAAAAAAAAAAGUUCCUUCCCAUUUUUUUUUGAACAGACUAUUUUUAGAGCAGUUUUAGGUUCACAUUGAAAUUGAGUGGAAAGCACAGAGUUUCCAUAUACCCACUGCUCCCACCCCACGCACUGCCUCCCCCACUACAACAUCCCACACCAAUCCACGUUCUUUCCUAACUUCCAUGUUUGUUUUUAAAUUUGUAAAGGAAUCUACCAAUCAUGCAUGUAUUAAGUG